CAAACUAGACCAGACAUACAUUUAUGUUGCUUGCUUAUUAUUGCCUUUCCAAAUUACUGAACUUUCUGUGUGUUGUGUACUGAUUUAACAUCAAAAAUCAAAUGAACCAUCACAGGGUUUUUUCUUUCUGUCACAGUUAAUGUUUGUAUUAAGAGUGACUGAGAGGGUGUUUUAGUUGUCAAUCAAAGGCGUUGUUGAAUUUUUUGUUUUUUUUUUUUUUGGUUGUUUGUUUUUGGGAUAUAUGAAAUGAGAUAUUGAGAAAUGGAGCAGGGCCCAUCUGGCGGUGAGGACCAUAGGUGUAGGAGAAGAGGGACACCGAAUUGGAGGUGUAGUGAGAGAGCCUUGGAUGGUAAGGCUUUCUGUGAGAAGCAUCAUCUUUAUGUGGUGCUGAGGAACAAGAAGAAGAAGAUGGAGAAGGUUGCUCGUGAAAUUGGUGGUGGAGGGGAAAUGGGUUCUGAGAGAAAGAAGAGAAAAAGACAAAAACUUGAAGAUAUUUUGGGGAACCAAGAAGUGGGUCUUGGGGACGAUAGUGUGCAAGAGUGGUUUGCUGGUGGUAGUGGUACUGCUGUGAGCGUUGGGGAAGAAAUUGCAAGGCUGUUUGGUGAGGUCAGUGAUGGAAAUGGUGGUCUGGGUGGUCUUGAGGGUGAAAGUUUACAGCUUUGGCCUGGUGGGGAUGGUCAAGCAUUUGGUCAAGGUGUAUGUGGAAAUGGCGGUCAAGUUCUUGGUGGCGGUGGUGUUAGUGAAGGAAUUCAAGGUGGGUAUGGUGGUCUGGGACUUGAUGGUGAAGCAAUUCAGUUAUGGGGUAGUGAUGAUGCUUGUAAAAAUGGUGGUGGGGUCCCUGGUGGGCAGGGAAUUCAGGUGGAGGGGUUUGGUGGGACUGCAUGUGACAUUGAAGGCCUGAUUCUUGGUGGUGGUGGAGGAAUUCAAGAGAGUUAUGGUGGGAAUAUGAGUGGAAUUGGUGGUCUUGAGGAUUUUAAUGGUAAAAAGGUUCAGCUUUGGAGCAGUGCAAAUGUUUGUGAAAAUAGUAGUGGGCUUUUUGGUGGUCAAGGAAUUCAUGGGGGUGGGUCUAUGGAGAAUGCUGGUGAAAAUGAUGGUCUGGGUUUUGGUACUGGAAGAUUUCAAGACCUGUUUAGCAAGGUUACUGGUGAAACUCUUGUUGAUGGAAGAAUUCAAGCCCUUUUUGGUGAAACUAGCUGUGGAAAUGAUGGUCUGAGUUUUAGCGGUGAAGGCAUCCAGUUUUGGUGUGAGGAAGCUGCAUGUGCAAAUCUUGAUGGUAAAGGAGUCCAAGGUCUCUUUGGUGAUAAUGUAUGUGUAAAUGGAGGUGAAGUUGGAGUUGGAAAUGGUGACAGGCAAGAGGUGGUAGAGUCAAGAGGAAAGCGUGGCCGUCCGAAGGGAUCAAAGAAUAAGAAGAAAAGUUUGGGUACAGAAGAAUGUAUUGAAGGGUUGAGUGGAGUUACUGGUGAAAAUGGAGUUAGAGAUGAGGUUAAGUCGGAGGCUAAGCAGGGUAGGCCAAAGGGUCCAAAGAAUAAGAGGAAAAGUCUUGAGAUGGACAAAAAUGAGAGAAUGCCUGGUCAAGAAACUGCUUGUAUGACAGCUUUGGAUAAUGAGAGGCUGUUUCAAGAGGUUGAGAAGGAUAAAGAAUUGGCUGAAGAAGGAGCAAUUUCUGUUAAUGAAGUUAGGAAUGAGAUUGUUGAACCAAAGCCAAAGCGCGGCCGACCAAAGGGUUCAACGAACAAGUUAAAGAAUCUUUCAGGUCAACAAAAUCAGGGAGUGCCUAGUGAAAUUAUGAAUAAUAAUUUCAGUGAUAUAGUUGUUUGGCCUACUGGUUUGGAGAAUGAGAUGCUGACUCCUGUUGGUGAAAAAGAGUGGAAAUUGCCCAUUGAAGCCACUCGUGAUGGUGAAGAUGGGGAUGAGAAUACCCAGCCAAAGUAUAAUCUUGGUCGACCAAAGGGUUCAAAGAACAAGAAGAAAAAAUCAGAAGCUCAAGAAAAUCAAGGAACCCCCGGCAAUAUUGUGGUUGUUAAUGAUGGUGGUGAUAAAACUCUUUGCCCAAUUGGUGGGGGGAAUGAAGGUGGAACUGAGAUUGUUCAGCAAAAGAAGAAGCUUGGUCGUCCAAAGGGUGCAAAGAAUAAGAAGAAAAAUACAGCAGGUCAAGAAAAUGAAGAAAUAGCUAGCAAAAUGGUGGUUGCUAAUAAUGGCUUUGAUGAAACUGUUUGGCCAUUAGAAUUGGAGUAUGAGAGGCAAACUUUUAUAGGUAAGGAAGAUAGGGGAUUGCAUUUGGAAGCCACUAAUGAUAAUGAAGGAGGAGAUGAGAUUGUGAGGCCAAAUGAUAAGCCUGGUCAACCAAAGGGUUUAAAGAAUAUGCAGAACAUUCUUGCUGAUAAAGAAAACCAGGGAAUGCUCUGCAAAGGCAGUAAUGAUGGUAGUUGGGUUGAAACUCUUGGGCCAAUUACAGUGAGUUAUGAGAAUGAGAGGCCUAUUCUUGUAAGUGAAGAAGAUAGGGGGAUGCCAGUUGAAGCCACUGGUGGUAAUGGAGGUGGAGGGACUGUCCAGCCAAAGAAAAGGCUAGGCCGACCAAAGGGUUCAAAGAAUAAGAAGAAAAUUGUUGCAGAUCAAGAAAAUGAGGGAGUGACUGGUGAAACCAUGCACAGUAAAGAUGGUGGCAGAGCUGAGACUAUUUUGUCAAUGGAUUCUCAAUAUGAGAGGCCUACUUUUGUAGGUGAAGAAGAUCAAGGGAUGCUGUUUGAAUCCACUGUUGGUGAUGGAACUGCAAAUGAGGUGAUCCAGCCAAACGAUAAGCUUAAAGGUUUAGAGAACAUGAAGAAGCGAGGCCGACCGAAGGGUUCAAAGAAGAAGAGAACUAUUAUCAUUGGUGAAGCUUUGAAAAUAGCAAAGACGCGUCAAGCAUUGAGGGAUUCUGGUGAUGUAGAGAUAAAGUCUAAUGAGUUAAUAUCAGAACCCAGCAGUGUUCUGAAAAGGCCUAGAGGGAGGCCCAGAAAAUUCAAGAAUAAAAAAAGAAACCCUGAUGGCAUUAGGGAGGGAAGAUCAACUGAGGAUGGAUUGGAAAAUUCAGGAUUUUCAGAUGAUUCUAGUAAGAAAAAUCAAAGGAGUUUACCGUGCCACCAGUGCUGGAGAAAUAAUACAUGUGAUAUUGUUGUUUGUUCCAAUUGCAAGAAGAGACGCUAUUGCCACAAGUGCCUUGCAAAGUGGUAUCCAGAUAAAUCAAGAGAAGAUGUGGAGAUUGCAUGCCCUUUUUGUUGUGGUAAUUGCAAUUGUAGAGUAUGCCUCAAGGAGGAAUUAAAUGUGAUGGUUGGACAUGAACAAGAAGAUAUGGAUACCAAUGCCAAAUUGCAAAAAUUUCUUUAUUUGCUAUACAAAACUCUGCCUCUUCUCAGGCAUAUUCAACAGGAGCAGAGCUCUGAAUUAGAUAUUGAAGCCAGCAUACAUGGUGUCAAAAUUAUGGAGGAGGAUAUUUCCAGAUCUGUACUUGAUGAUGAUGAUCGAGUGUAUUGUGACAACUGCAAUACAUCUAUUGUCAAUAUCCACCGAAGCUGCUCCAAUCCUGAUUGCUCUUAUGAUCUCUGUCUCACUUGUUGCCAAGAACUAAGAAAAGGAUUUCAGCAUGGAGGUGAUGAAACAGAAUCUUCCCACCAACAAGGACUGUGUGAUCAAAAUACAGAAUUGAAUGGUCAGACUGCAAAUGGAAAGAUAUUUGGUUGGGACAGCCAUAUGGACCUUCCCAUAAAUGAGAGCAUGGCUGACAUGUCUUUUAAUGUUCCUGAUUGGAAUGCAGAGGUUGACGGUAGGAUUCCUUGCCCCCCAAAAGUGCGAGGAGGUUGUGGUAGGGAGAUGCUUGUACUGAAACGCAUAUUUGAAGCAGAUUGGGUUGACAAUUUGAUUAAGAGUGCAGAGGACCUAAUUGUCAAGUAUCAGCCACCAGAUAAUGAUUUUUCUCAAGGAUGUUCUUUGUGUGAUCCUAUGAAUAUUGCUCAAAAUGGAGCAAGAGAUUCUGAAGUAAGGUGGGCAGCUUAUAGGGAGAGUAGUCAUGAUAACUUUCUCUAUUGUCCAAAUGCGGUUCAUUUGGAGGAUAAUGACUUUGAACAUUUUCAAAUGCAUUGGAUGCAAGGUGAACCUGUCAUAGUUAGAAAUGUACUUGAAAAGGGUUCUGGUCUUAGUUGGGAACCAAUGGUCAUGUGGAGGGCAUUUAUUGGGGCAAAAAAGAUAUUAAAAGAGGAGGUAGCGAAGUUUAAAGCUAUUGAUUGCUUAGAUUGGUGUGAGGUUGAGAUUAAUAUCUUCCAGUUUUUCAAGGGUUACCUACAUGGCCGUAGUUACAGGAAUGGGUGGCCAGAGAUGUUGAAGCUGAAGGAUUGGCCUGCAUCAAAUUCUUUUGAGGAGUGUCUGCCCAGACAUGGUGCUGAAUUUGUUGCGAUGCUUCCCUUCUGUGACUAUACAAAUCCUAGAUCUGGUCUCCUGAAUCUAGCUACAAAACUUCCUGCUGUUUUGAAGCCAGACCUGGGACCCAAAACAUAUAUUGCUUAUGGAUCUUUAGAAGAGCUUGGUAGAGGUGAUUCAGUGACAAAACUACAUUGCGACAUUUCCGAUGCGGUUAAUGUAUUGACCCACACAACAGAAGUAAAGAUUCCUCCAAGACAGCGUAAAUUCAUAACCAAAUUAAAGAAGAAAUAUGAAGCUGAAGAUUUGCAUAAGCCUUGUGAUGGUACACACAAGUUCCCUAGUACAUCUGGAAGAAAGCGACGAAAAAGAUCUCGCAAAGGUAACAGAAAAGUUCAUGGGUAUUCUGAAAAGGCUGACAUUAUUGAAAGUGACUCUUGCUUGCUGGAAAGGCCAAAUAUAGAGGAAGGAACACUGGAUGAACAACAAAAUAAAUCCUUGGAUUUUGGAAGUCCUUCUCCAGAAAGUUUACUGAUUGUUAAUUCACAGAGCGAUUCAGUUGGAGAUUUUCAUAAAAGGGUUCAGAAGUUUGAUCUUCAUAUGUGUGAUUCUAGCUCUUCUUUGCUGGGAGGGAAUUGUGAUAGGGCAUGUGAUAUGGUUAAGGACAAGGUUGAAUUGAUAAAGCGCUUGUCACCAUGCAAUGGUCUUGCUAAAGAUACCUUGUUAUGUGAAAGAAUGGAGCUCGAACAAAGCACUCAAAACAACUAUGAAAAAGAAAAAGCUUUAGGUUUGAAGGUAAAAUUUGAUGAGUUUUGCUCUCUCAAAAAUCAGCCUGACACAUGCACCAGCGUAGUUGACUUGAAUUCAUCCAUUGUGCCUACUUGCAUAACUGGGGACUUUAAAACAAAUGUGACUGAACAACCUAAAUUUAAAGGAUCCUGCAUUUGCCAAUGCAAGAAUGUCAAGGAGAACUUUUCACCUGAUGCGAUAAUUGCUGGUACCAACCAUACUGCCACUAUUGAAAUUAGUUGUGCCAGAUGCAAAAUUCCUGCAAUUGAAGACGUUAGUGCUGAUCUGCUUGAUGCCCAGAGUGAAAUGGUUGAAACUGAUAAACACGUGCCUUCAAGUUCGACAGUGACAAGGACGAUGACAAAUUGGAAUGGUUCUGUGGAGGUGACAUUUGCAGGCAGCCAUACAGAUGGUACAAAGUCAGACCCAGUUCAGAUAGCUGUAGAUCCCAACUCCUGUGCAAAAAGUUGGGAAGUUUCUGAUGUCCCUUUAUCUAAAGAGCAGCUCUCAGGCCCUCACCGUCCUGUAAGUGGAACUGCUGCUGGGUGUAGCUUCACCUUGUCAGAUGGGGUUGCUACAGGCCUCAACUGUCCUGCUACUGAAGAAUUUUGGUCUACUUAUGAAGGUGAUGCUAAAGAUGUAAGAGUUGAAAGAGAUUCAGGUAAUCUAAAACAUUUUCAGCCUUCAAGUACAAUGGCAGAACUUAAGCCUGUCAAGGGGGAAUACUCUUCUGGUGCAACAGUUUCAGGCAAUAUAAAUAACAACUUAGAGCCAACCAAACCAGAAAUAAGUUCCACCAGAGAUCCCCUUCAAAACAAAGAUAUUUCAGAGGUUGCAUAUGGAUGUGCUGUAUGGGACAUUUUCCGUAGGCAGGAUGUACCCAAGUUAAUUGAGUACUUACGGAAGCAUCACAAAGAAUUCUGCCACAUCAGCAAUCUUCCUGUAAAUUCUGUUAUUCAUCCUAUUCACGACCAAACCCUUUAUCUGAACGAGAAGCAUAAAAAGCAGCUGAAGGAAGAGUUUGGUGUUGAACCAUGGACAUUUGAGCAACACCUUGGCGAGGCCGUGUUCAUUCCUGCAGGAUGCCCACAUCAAGUGAGGAAUAGACAGUCAUGCAUAAAAGUGGCCCUUGACUUUGUUUCCCCUGAGAACGUUCAAGAAUGCAUCCGGCUGACAGAAGAGUUUCGUCUACUCCCAAAAACGCAUAGAUCUAAAGAAGAUAAAUUGGAGGUUAAGAAGAUGGCACUAUAUGCAGUUUCUAAUGCUGUAAGUGAAGCCAAAAAUCUAAUGUCCAAAAUUGACUUUCGGCCGAUAUAUGGCAACAAUCGUAUUGGAAGAAGAAAUGCUAAGGACAAAGGCUUCACCUGAAGAUUAAGGGUGACCUGAUUAGAGAAUCAAAAAAUAGAUUCAGAAAGUGUUUAGUUAAGUGAAACAUGGAUUAGUUCAUCAAAUGGAGACAAGAAAGCCUAGGAGCAUCCAUUUUAAUUGAUGGCUCUCAUGAAGAAAAAAGCCUUAACUGUAAAGAAAGUAGUUGCUGAAUAGUAUGUUGAAUCCUGAAUGUCUUCGGGACAUUUUUGUUUUAGAAUAGUUUGGGGUCGUCAAUGAUGUCUUACUUACUCAACUAUUGAUUCUAUUAUCUUUAGUCCUGAAGAUUACUCUAGGCCUACAUGUUAGUUUGCCAGGAGUGUACAGAAUAAAUUUUUGAAUGUUACUUGGCUUGCAUGUUGCGACCCUAACUAGUCUAUUGAGAAUUGAUAGCCGACCCCAAAAUUUAGGGAUUAUGGCUUGGUUGUUUUUGUGAUACUAAGCCUGCAUGUUAGCAAUAACCUUGCUGCCCUUCAGGAAAGAACUACUUUUGGCCAAUGAUGUUUAAUGGGAAUAGUAUGAAAGCCAUUUGGAUGUUUA